ensembl:lincRNA
CCAGAAUCUCAGCAAGGAGAAUCACUUGAACAUGGGAGGUGGCGGUUACAGUGAGCCGAGAUCGCGCCACUGCACUCCAGCCUGGUAACAGAGCAAGACUGCAUCUGAAAAAGUAACAGAAAUUUUCUCCAGACACCUGCCUUCUGAUGAUGGCCCCCUCCCCCGGUGAAGCACGGGAGACCCCAAACUCCUGCCUGACCCUAAAGUGCCUCAUGACCCUGCCCACGCACUCCUCUGGCCACACUGAGUGUCCUCCGAGUCAUGCUGAGCCCUGUGCCUGGGUGUUUGCUGCCCCCUGUCUAAAAGCCUCCCCUCCCUUUUCCCGGCUCCAUCCCCUCAUCCUCUGCCUGCUCAGCACCCACCUCCUGGUCAUUUAACGUGUAGCUCAGGCUGUAAUCCCAGCACUUUAGGAGGCCAAGGGCAGAGGAUCACUUGAGCCCAAGAGCUUGAGACCAGCCUGGGCAACAUAGUGAGACCCCCCUCAACUCCACCAGAAAUGUAAAAGGAAGAAAAAAAGAUGUAGCUCAAGCAUCACCCACCUCCAGGUAGCCUUCCUGAUGGUGCCAUAUGCAGGUGGGCUCAGAGGCAGCCUCUGUUCUCUGGGCAUCAGAAGCUGCCUCCCUGGGGGAAAUGCUCCUGGGUCAGCUCCUGCAGGAGUCCAGGCACAGGAUGAUGGUGAUGGAUCAGGACUGAGGGUCAGAGAUGCAGAAAGCCAGACAGCUUUGGGAUGUACUUGGUGAGAUCAGUGGGAUUUGCUGCAGGCUGGCUGUCAGGGUGCAGGGGAGAAUUCUGGACCGGCCCUGUCUUCAUCUCUCUCUUCCCUCCAAUCCCAGGAAGAGCAAAUGAGGCAGAAGGACUCGUGGGCCUGGCUCAGCAGCUCCGUCCUCAAGAACUUGAGGACCACCAAGUUCCAUGGCUGGGAGGGAGCCUUUCUGGACAGAGUCCUGGGCAUCCGGGGCCAGGAGCUGGGUGCCUUGUGGACCUCCGGCCUCCUCUUCUCCGUGUCGCUGGAGUCCUUCCAAGCAUCUACAUUUCUGAGAACUCCCAUGAGGAAGAGAAAAUGGGGACCACUGACUUCUGUGUCUCUGAAAAUAACUUUGUAAAAGUACUUAAGGAUCCAACACUGUGCUUAUCAUCAGACAGUUCGGGACCCUCUGCUCUGAGAGCAUCAACAUUGGCCAUCUCCUUCUCCUGUUUGAGUCUCAAACUCUGCCUCUGGAACCUGGUUUUGAAGGGUAAGUUUCCAGUCAGAACAAGUGCCCACGCUCUGCUCUCCCAACCCCAUGCCCCUGCCAUCGCCAGGAAGGCUGAGGACAGACAGGGUCUUUGCUCCCCUAGUCAGAGCUGGCUGUGACUGAAGUACCCUCAGAGGCAGGCAGAGCCCUCUGUCCUUUUUCAUCACUGUGCUGACCACCUUGGGAGCUGAUUAUGCUCCUUAAACCUCCUGGGAACAGUUAAGGCCCCCUGCACUGCAAAAAGGAUUAAGUCAACUGAGACAAGACACGUUUUUCCAAUUAGUUAUAAACUUGGUAUCAAAGGCCCAUGACCAUGGAAUACACAGGACGAUCACAGUGAAAUGCUAAAGCCAAAUCUCCUCUUCCAUGUGCCAUGCUAUGAGAAAAGAGAUGGAAAGUAACUUCCACCAAUCAAACUUCCCGACCUCAGGCUUCUUAAAACACACAUCAACAGGUGCAACAAUGCUUGUGUUGGCAUAUGCACUUUACUAUAUAUGUGCAUCUUUAAAAAGAUUUUUCCCGGCAUCUUAAAUGCAAGUUUAAUCAGUCACACGUUUUGGUCAUGAUCUUCAGGAGCUGAAAAUCAAGAACUUUUUGAAGAGGCCUGGGGAAGAAAGAAGCCAGUCCUACAGACAACAGCCCAGAGCAAAAGAAAACCCACAUAGACAAGGGGAAAAUGCAAACUUCCCACAGACAACGGCCCCCAGGAGAAAUCAAUUAGUUUUUUCUCAUCACAGUUAUAGCAAGACAAUGUCAUUCAAGUACCUGCUGUACAUUUAAAUCUGUGUAA